rnacentral:rRNA from 1 species
UACGUAGGGUGCAAGCGUUGUCCGGAAUUAUUGGGCGUAAAGAGCUCGUAGGCGGUUUGUCGCGUCUGCUGUGAAAACUCGGGGCUUAACCCCGGGCCUGCAGUGGGUACGGGCAGACUAGAGUGCGGUAGGGGAGACUGGAAUUCCUGGUGUAGCGGUGAAAUGCGCAGAUAUCAGGAGGAACACCCGGUGGCGAAGGCGGGCUCUGG